GGAGGGGAAUGAUUUAAAUGGUGCCAAAUAUGAGAAAGAAUCACUGGAAAUUUUGGAGAAUUUCAGUGUAUGAGUUUCAUGGAAGAUUGAGAUGUUAAGCAACACACGACACACUUCAUUAUGAAUUAAUUAUGGCUGGGAUAAUUGCUGAGAGCCAAGACUUCCAGUCAACUGUGAGAACCCAGAGCAGUGACAGAAUCUGAUCACCUACCGGUUUUCUGUACCACGAAGCUGAGAAGUCCUACCCCAAACUGAACAAAACAUUCAAGGUUGUUUUCCUUUAAAGCACGUCAUAGAAGUUAUCAUUAUAACCACUGGUUUAUUACUUCAUACCCAAUAAAGUGACUCACUGUUUGUUUUA